rnacentral:rRNA from 1 species
UUAUUUUAAGCAAAUUUCUUUUAUUGUACCUUUUGUAUCAGGGUUUAAUAACUUUAAUUCAAUUAACUUGAAUUUCCCGAAGUUAGAAGAGAUACAUUUUUAUGAAACUUUAUGUGUUAUAUUGAUUUUUAAUAAAAGUGUAGGAGUUAUAUGCUAUUCAUUUUUAAAUAUCUGGUUAUCUAAUAAAUUAAUUUAAUUAA